rnacentral:rRNA from 1 species
AACGACUCUCGGCAACGGAUAUCUCGGCUCUCGCAUCGAUGAAGAACGUAGCGAAAUGCGAUACUUGGUGUGAAUUGCAGAAUCCCGUGAACCAUCGAGUCUUUGAACGCAAGUUGCGCCCCAGGCCUUCUGGCCGAGGGCACGUCUGCCUGGGUGUCACAAAU